GAAUCAACGCUAGGCGGCGUGCCUAACACAUGCAAGUCGAACGCGAAAGUCCCGCAAGGGAUAAGUAGAGUGGCAAACGGGCGAGUAACACGUGGGUGACCUGCCUUCGAGCGGGGGAUAACGUCCCGAAAGGGACGCUAAUACCGCAUGACAUCCUGCCUUUGAAGAGGCGGAGAUCAAAGCUGGGGAUCGCAAGACCCAGCACUCGAAGGAGGGGCCCGCGCCUGAUAGCUAGUUGGUGGGGUAACGCUCACCAAGGCAACGAUCAGUAGCCGGCCUGAGGAGGGCGGACGGCCACACUGGGACUGAGAC
rnacentral:rRNA from 1 species